CAGGCUCUCAGGGGAAGGAACCAGAUAAAUCAUCAGCAAGGAAAACCUAUAGGUUUCCCCAAAGUACAAUUUGAAUAGAAAUGUCAAAUGCACCUGGAGUUAUUACACCCUGUAAUCCUAAUGACAUAUAAUCCUAUACACCAACAGGAUAAUAUCACGAGUGUGUGUGGCAACACUGCCGCAUGUUAAUCCUGCCUGCCUCCUGGGAUGAUCUUUCUCAUCCCAGCAGAGCCUACAGAGCCUCCUUUGUUCUUCCCAGAAGUGGCCUCAUCGGGCUGGACCUGGGGGAGGUGACCAAGGAAGUGAAAAUCAAAGAGCCCAAGGAAUGAAGCUGGCAUGGCGCUAGUCAGGGGAUGGACAGGUGUGGUUUGGUGCUUUCAUUUUUUGCCUAAUCUGGAUGCAUCCUAAGUCCCCUGGAAGUUGCCAGCCCCACAUCAGCAUCUGUGUUGAGGACCCUCUUCUCUCCCCGCCUACCCCCGCCCCUAACCCUUUCCUUCUCUCUCAUUCUUCCUUUCCUGUAUCCUUCCCUUUCUUCCCCAGCAUCUAUGCUCUGUUCUGCCAGGAGCACUCUCGGAGAUAUGGUUCGUCCUCUUGAGAGGGAAAGCCUCCUGGGACUCGCGUGCACCCGUCCUGUCCAGCUGCGCUCCUUAGUUGCGGGCCCUGGAGCCAGGGAAGGUGGGAGUGGACUUUCGCCUGAGGCAGCAGCUGCGUGGUUAGUGGUCUGUGGCCAGGGGGGCAUUUCAAGGUAGGGCACAGAACUUCCAGGCCAGUGCACCAGCCCAAAAUAGAGCCCUGGUUGGCUUUAUCUACCGUGUAGCCUGUGCUGGUCCCCAUGACAUAAGCUUCUUUUGCUGUGAGACAGGAAAUCUCUUUCUAGGCUCCUGGGGAGAUGAGAUUUUUCAGGUCAAAGUCUCAGAGUCAUUCACACAAUCCAGGAAUCUCUUCCCAAACUCCAUACUCCUAUGCUCGGCCCUCCAAGGCAGUGAUUCUCGAAGUAGGAACCACUUCAAGACCAGCAGCUCAGCACUACCAGGGAUCUUAUUAGAAAUGCAAAUUCUGCCAGGUGCGAUAGCUCACACCAGUAAUCCCAGCACUUCGGGAGGCCGAGGGGGCAGAUCACUUGAGGUCAGGAGUUUGAAACCAGCCUGGCCAACAUGGUGAAAUCCUGUCUCUACGAAAAGUACAAAAAUUAGCUGGGCAUGAUGGCGCAUACCUGGAGUCCCAGCUACUCAGGAGGCUGAGGCAGGAGAAUCGCUUCAACCCAGGAAGCGGAGGUUGCAGUGAGCUGAGGUUGCACCACUGCACUCCAGCCAGGACGACAGAGCAAGACUCCAUCUCAAAAACAAAAACAAAAAAAAAAAAAACAGAAAUGCAAAUUCUUAGAUCCCAGUGCCAAGGGUGGCUGGAGACAGUUUGUAACAUCUCAGGAGAACCAAUUGCACAUGUCUCUUUCCUAACUCCACAUUUAGUGACCAUCACACUGGGGGCUUGAAAUCAACCACGGUGAGAGUGUUUACACUGUGGAACAUUACAAAUCAGUGCUCAUUUUUCUUUCUGAAAGCCCAUUGUUAAACAGUUUCCAGCACACCACUGGACCCUACCCAGACCUACUGAACCAGAGCCCUGAAGGUGGAACCCCACAAUCUGUGUUUCAAUAAGCUUUCCAGGUGAUUCUGAUGCACAUUCAAGUUUGAGAAUCACUGUUCCCAUGGGCCAGCUCUAGUGGUAUCAUAAGAAAGAAAGGAAUGUGGGGGUGCCCAAGGAGUAGGAUUUCACAAGGAAACUUUGGAAAAGGUAAAGAAAGAAGAGAGAAAGUAAACUAGGCCCUGGGGCCUUCCUCCAGGCAAAGAGGCAACCAGGCACUUGGCAGGAAAUACCCCUGGACGGAGAUGAGACCUGCAGCCCCAGGGAAUGGAAGGAGGAAAGAGAAUCUGGGCCCAAAGCAGGAUGGAGAUAAAGAUGCCCAGAAGAAACCAAAGCCUUCUUGGGGGAAACUGUAAGAAGUCAGGAGGGAAUUCUUUAUUAGAAAUUGAAGAUCCCGCUGGGCGUGGUGGCUCAUGCCUGUAAUCCCAGCACUUUGGGAGGCCGAGGUGGACAGAUCACCUGAGGUAGAAGUUCGAGACCAGCCUGGCCAACAUAGCAAAACCCCAUCUCUACUAAAAAUACAAAAAUUAGCCGGGCGUGAUGGCACGCACCUGUAAUCCCAGCUACUCAGGAAGCUAAGGCAGGAGAAUCACUUGAACUUGGGAGGUGGAGGUUGUAGUGAGCCAAGAUGGCGCCAUUGCACUCCAGCCUAGGCAACAAGAGCGAGACUCCAUCUCAAAAAAAAAAAAGAAAAAGAAAAGAAAAGAAAAAAAAAGAAAGAAAGAAGUUGAAGAUCAAAGCUGGAGACCAGGACUCUUGACAAAUCUGACCAGAUUUGAAACACACCUAAGAAAUGUAAGACUCAAUUAAUUCUACAUGAGCCUAAGAAUUAAACCAAAUAAAGAAUGACAACACAAGUAAUGAGGAUACUGGCUUAUGCCUAGGUGUUUGUAUUUCUUUAGGUCUAACUCCAACUGUAUAUCCUAUUUUAAAUUAAUAUUUGUUAUUCUUUGUUUUUUGUUAUUUUAAUAAAAAGCUCUAUUUAAAUGUAUUUAAAUAACAUUAGCCAGAUGUGGUGGCUCAUGCCUGUAAUCCCAGCACUUUGGGAGGCUGAGGCAGGUGGAUUGCUUGAGCUCAGGAGUUUGAGGACAGCCUGGCCAACAUGAUGGAACCACGUCUCUACAAAAAUACAAAAAUUAGCCAGGCAUGGUGGCACACACCUGUAGUCUCAGCUACUUGGGAGGCUGAGGUGGGAAGACUGCUUGAGCCUGGGAGGUUCAGGCUACCAUGAGCCUUGAUCACACCACUGCUCUCAAGCCAAGGCAACAGAGUGAGACCCCAUCUCAAAACAAAACAAAAAGAGAACACUAAUGCCGUUAGAAAAGAAUGCUUUCAUUACUAACACCACUGGGGAGCCAAGCAAUUCAAACCCGCCUGACUCCAUGUGGCAGCUUAUUUCAAGUACAGGCAAGGAGACUCAAAGGAAAUAAACAGUGUGUGGGGGUUCUAGCGAUGCAAACCUAUAAGGUUCUUGUAACUAUCAUAAUGCUUGAUCAAUACUUAUUAACAAACCACAUUCUAGGAGGAACAAGUUUUAAAAGCCUGAAAAUUGGACAGCCAACGUCCU
rnacentral:lncRNA from 10 species